GCCAGACUGAGUUUAUUUGAUGGCAGCCACUUUGAGUAGACCCUGUGGGUGACGGCUGUCUGUUGCACUGUGACCUCACAGCAGAGAGGAAUGGGGUGUGGUGAGUGGUUCCAUGCGUAGGAGACAGUUGGGUCUGUGGUUGUGAGGGGAAGAGGCUGGAAGCCAGGGAACCGUUAUUUGACUUCCGGGCUUGGAAGUCAGCGUGACUUAUGACCUGGAGACUUUGGGCUGCCCCAGCUGUGUCCAGCUGUGUGCGAGGAGCUCAAAGGCUUUCAGAGGCCUGUUUGUUUGUGGUGUCACUGACCACUCUGGCUGUAGCCCCUGGAGCAGCUGAGGGACAGGAGGGGCCGGCAGGAGCUUGACCCUCUGUCUCUCUCUCAAAGCAGAGGGAGCUGGGGCUGGAGCGGGAAGCAGCAGUUUGCUGGACCUGAUGAGGAACUCAAAAGUCAUGACAGGGAGGAGAAGACUGUACUGAGAGCAGGAGUGUUUGUGUAAAGAGUUGCCUCUAUUUCCUGGAAUUCCCCAAGGCAUUGUGAUUUUUGCAAAGGUCACUCAAGUUCUUAUUUGCAGUCCCUGGAACAAGACCCGCCUCCUCUCCUCCAGGCCUGUGAACAUUCUCAUCCCCUCCUCCUCUACAUGAGACCUCCAUGGUUUGCCCCCUGCAGCCAGGUUCGUCAGCCCUCUCUACAUGUGGCCACACUGCUCCAUGCUUGCCCCAUGCUCACACUCCUCACUGUCCACUGGCCAUAUUAAAGGUGCACUAGCUUCUCCCAGAGGCUGCCAACUGAGGUCAGAGACGACUAACUGUGACCUCAGGAAUGAGGGCUCCAAUGUCAGAGGCAGCCAGCAUCCGAGGGGCCAGAGUGUAGCCGUCAACACAGAUCGUGAGGUCCCAAACACCCUCGACCUCGGCUCACAGAGAUCUUUCUUCCUUGUCCCGAAGUGGAAGGGCUGGGCUGCUGUGGGCAUGGCUGACAAAGCUUCUCCAUAACGCGUUAGCAAUUUCUGCUCACAUUCAGCAAACGUCCUUGAUGGGUGUGGACAUCGCAUUAGCAGCUCUUGAAUUAUUCUCUUGUGAAGGAGAGACCUGCCCAGGGCCAGUGAUCGAAUUCUAAGCGAGAUAACAUCGUGGGCAGGGCCCUAACACGGUGCCGAUCCAGUGACCCUGGAUAAAGAGCUGACCGUUCAGGGCUCCAGCAGCAGAUUGGACCCUCUGUGACAGCAUUUAUCAGCUGGGUUGGGAGCCUCUGCCCUUCCCUCUUCACCAGGCGAUGGAGCUGCCUGAGGGAGAUGACCAGGCUUCCUCCUCUGACUGGCUGAAAGCGUCUCCAGGUCUCUCAGGUCAGAAGGCCGCAGAGCAGGCUCAUGGAGAUGAAGGCUUAGGUGAGACAACUCCCUCCUGGGAUGGGGGGGAGGUGGGAUGGGGGAAAGGGCCUGUGAGGAGGGAUAGCAGGCAGGAGGGUGAAUGAGGUGCCCUCAGGUCAGCAGGAAGGUGCCAUUCCGACAGGCUUGUUUUUCACGAGGGAAGCGAGCUCCUGGCACUGGGAAUUGGCACUGGGCCUGGGGGCAGGAGGGAAAAUGCACCUCCACUGGCUCCUAAGGGGCACAGGCUCCGGCAUCACGGAAAGCAGAACUGGACCCCAGUGAACUCCUAGGCCAGCACUCUUGUAGGAAAGCCCUAGGGCACAACAAGUCCUCAAGAUAAUCAUGUGGACCCGAGAAACAUUUCCAAUUUUUCCAAAGAACUAAUGGAAGUUUCAUCCUAUGGUAAGACUAACAAGGCUAAAUUAAAAAGUUAUUUUUCUUUGCUUUUGGCCGGAAUUGUAUCAACACAGUAUUCUCAUGGAAAUAUGAAUUAUUUGAUAAAUGCAGUCUGGCAGAGAAAAAUCUUAAAAGAAAUACGAGGUCCUUCUUUUUGAUGGUUAUGAAGUUGAGAAACACUGCUCCAGCUCAAAUCCUUUGUUCUGUAGACUGAGGCCCAGAGAGGUCACAGAGCUGGUUAGUGGCAGGCUGAGGGCCAGGACCAGAUCAAUCAACCCCAGCCAGCUGCUCCUUCUGCUACUCCGUGUGUCUCUCUGUUCUCUCUUGUCUUCACUACUCCUUCCCAAAAAGAGGCUCCUCUGAGACUUCUAACGCAAAACCUGCUUUCGUGCCAAACUUCGACAGGAGGCUGAUACCCACAGCUGUCAGGGGAGGGCACCUGGGAAGGAAGGGAGGCCCCGCAGGCCCCGGGGGUGCACAAGCCAGGCUCCUGCUUACGAGUAACAGAACCCUUACAGGCCAUAGCUUAACUGAGACAGUUGUUUUCUUCCUUCCUCCCUCCCUCCCUUCCUUUCUUCCAAUGCAACAGGAAGUCUGAGGGUAGGCACGCCAGGGCAGGUGCAGCUGCUCAAGGGCAUCAAGGUACCGGGUUCUUUCUACCUUCCUGUUCCAUCCUCCUUAGUGUGUGGCCAUUCUCCUCAUGGUUGCAAGAUAACUGCUGGAUCUCUGGGCAUCAAAACCAAUGUUCAGGCAAGAAGAAAAGAGGAAACAAAAAUGAGAGAAUGGAAAAUCUCACUGCUUUACCCUUUUAUUCAGGAAGGGAAGACCUCCUCUGGGAUUUCUGAUAUUCUCAUUGACUAGAACUCAUCCCAUGGACACCCCAAGCUGCAAGGGAUGCUGGAAAUUUGAGCAUUUUCCUUUCCAGCUUCUAUAACAGAGGAAGGUAGUGUAGAACGGGGUUGAAAAGGAAUGGAGUGAGCCAACGCAGACAUGUACAAUCCCCCUGCACCUUGCCCAUCCUUCCCCUGCCUCCCGCUACAAUGGAAGGCGACUGUGGGAGGUCCAUCUUUCCACUGGUGACAUGGAGCCCAUGCCCUGCCACCUUCAGCCCUCUGUUUCCUGUAUCUCCAAUCUUUGCUACUCUCCUGGAUCUUAUUCAGUAUUUAGACGUGCUCAAAGCGUUCCCAUGGUAAAACGUUAAACAACAUCAGGGCAGCAAUCUAGGGGACUUGGUAGAAAAACGUUGGGAUAUUGAGUUGUGUUGGUCAGUUCUUGCUGACCUUCAGUGAGUUGCUGCAAGAGAAAGACAGUCAUCAGUCAUGCUGGUGUACGUGACAGCAAGGAAAACAAUUCAAGCUUCACUGAAAGGCCCUUUCUGAGCAUAGCUGGGGAUCCAGGAGCUCCGAGAGUCAGGGAUUCAUGUCCCCUGCAGACCAAAUUCAAAUUCUGUGCCUCUCUUGAGUGAAGACAGGCCACUUAAUCUUUCAGGCUUUUCUUUCCUUCUCUCUCUCUCUCUCUCUCUUUUUUUUUUUUUGGCAAGGAACAUUGGCCCUGAGCUAACAUCUGUUGCCAAUCUUCCUCUUUUUGUUUGAGGAAGAUUGUUGCUGGGCUAACAUCUGUGCCGGUCUCCCUCUAUUUUUGUUUGUGGGACGCUGCCACAACAUGUCUUGAUGAGUGGUGUGUAGGUCCAUGCCUGGGAUCUGAACCUGCAAACCUGGGGCCACCGAAGCAGAGCGCACAAACUUAACCCCUAUGGCACGGGGCUGGCCCACUGCUCUUUCAUAUUUAAAAUGGAGACAAUAAUAUACCAGCUUCAAAGGCUAAUCAUGAGGAUACAAUGAAAUAAUGUACCCAGGAGUGGUUUGUGAUCUUAUAAAGGAUAAAGAAAAGUGGAAGCUGGGGGGAAGAGAAAAAGUCAACCUCCAAAUUUGAGUACCAGAUGCUCUUAGGCCAAAAUUUAGCCCCAUCCCAUGCAGCUCCUGCUGUGUGAGCCAAAAAUGUUCUUUUUCUCUUCUUAACCUUGUUCAAUUUAUAUUCCUUUCUGUGCAACCCAAAGUAUCCUGUCUAAUAAACCCAUCCACUGCCUGGCUCCCAAUGACUAAGGCCAUAUCUACAGCCUGGACCUCUCUGCUGAGCUCCAGAGCAAUAUAUCCAACUGCAUACAUGGUGUUAAUACGUGAAUAUAUGCAGACACUGCAAACUCACAAUGUUUAAAAGUGGACUUUUCAUCUUCCUCACACCUGUGUUUCUUCUUCAUAUUUUCUGUUGUAGUAGAUGACAUCACAAUCUGUUGGCUGCCCAAGCUCAAACCUGGAAAUCAUCCUUUUCUCCUUCCCCUCCUUCAUUCCUCACAUCCCAUCACCAAGUUCUGUAACUUCCACCUCUUAAAUAUCUCUGUGUCCAAUGCCAGCAUCUUAGUCAGGGCCAUCUUCCCUGGCCUCUGUGACCAUCACUGUUGAUUUCCUACCCCAAAGUCAUUUCUCUUUUUACCUGGCUAUCAGAACUCCAGUUUUGCUCCAGGCAACAAUGUGUCCAGCUCCAGGAGACGACAGGAGAGAAGAAAAAGCCAACACAUGGAAGAUGGUGAUGGAGAAGGAUGGAGAAAGCUCGGGUUUUUAAUGAAAUCACAGAGCUCCCAAACUGUUCCUGAGGAGGCAUUGUUUCCCGAUUUCCUGUUGGUAAACCAUAAAUGUUGCUACAGGGUUUAAGUUUGCCACAUCACAGAAGCCUUGCGAGUGUUUCUGCCAUGUUCUCCUCUGCAUGGAGGAUGCCCUGCCCGUGGAACAGGGACAGUCAUGAAGAAUGGCCAGAGGACCCUGGACUGAAUGAUUCACCAGAAGCAGGAGUGCCUUCUGGAAGUCUGCAGAAAACUUGAGAUGGGCAUUAGACUUUGCAAAAUCCAGGCAGCGACGAUGGUUCAAGGCAUAUUUCCCUUGAUCUUCAGAAGAGUGUGACUACCUCUGGUCUCGUCUGUGGUGUCUCAGUGGCAGUAUGUGUGUAAGAAGGGGGAGGUUUCCGUGUCUGUAUAGUUGCUGGCUGCAUUUGCACCCAUACUUAAAGGUGUGGGUGUUCAUGUGCUUCUUCUGCUUUUGUGUAGGGAUAUUAUUACACAUUGUAUCUUUGUUGGAGAUGCUGCUAAAUGUUCAUGUGAUCAUACUUUUCUUCCUCACUGAGUCUUCAUAGAGGGAAACUGAGUCCCUUCCCACACCUUGAGGAGUAGAGGCUUUCCCAGGAUCUGAGCCCUGCCAAGUAACAUGCGGUCCCUGCUCCCAUCUUUCCUUCUCGUGCCCCUUCCCCAUUUCUCUGACUCCUUCCUCCAACACUAAGAAGAGCCAAGGCCCUUAACCAAGAGCAGGAAAAUAAAAAUCAGGUCACCAGAUGUGCUGCAUUCCAUCCUCUCCUUCCCUACCCCUCCUCACCGCAAUAAAUUCCGAGCGUAUAUACAGCAAGUGCGUGGCAUCCCCUCAAACCUGGCUGUGUCCCUGCCUGGUGACAGACCCUACUGAGGCAGAGACUGUGGGUACCCAUACAAGCCUACCACAUGACCCACCCAUGUCUCCAGCUCCGUGACCCAUUAAUUUGCUCUGUCUAGACCAUCCAAGCAGACCCCAGAAUGAGUUUUUUUCACCCUGAAUGAGGGGUGAUACAUUUGUGCCCUCUGUACUGCCAGGGCUCCUUUUCCCUGUGUGGUCACUGUCUGUCUGGGUGCAGGAGGAGAAUGAGGUCUCCUGGGCAAGAUCACUGUCUGGAUACUGGCGGUGGGGGAGACCGCAGCCCUGCUUUGGCUUGUGCACAGGGCUCUCUCAAGCUGGCCCCCACCUGGAGCCCACAGUGAGUGUCUGGGUCUCUGGAAUGAACAGGGCAUCUGGGAUUCUCAUUGGAGACUGUUUACUUGUCGAUUUGCAUGGCAGGUUAAGAGCCCACAGCAGCCCACUUUCUGCCAGCGAAUUUUAGGAACAACUUCUCCAAGCCAGCGUGGCCCAGCCCAGGCAUAGGCCCUCCUUAGCCCUCCCUCCUUCACUCCCCACAUUGGCCACGUGGAAGUGACUCACUUGGGCUCUCUGAGCCCCUGCCAAGAGCAGCCAGAGCGGUGCCUCAAUAAAGUUGGAUGGGUUACUUUAGGAGCAGGGGGCAGUCCAGAGUCCCUUUGGAAUCCCGUGGACCUCCUUAUCCUCCUUCCACCGCUGCUUCCCAAGUAGCCGACCAACCAAACCUGAUGAGGCAACGUCUCCUUGCUGCUCUGGAGAAAGCUCACCCCCCGCACCUGGCUCUCCCAGUCCUCCGAUAGCCUGUGCUACAAUCAGGGGCCACUGUGGGGGGCUCUUGGCCUUUCAUGAGAUAGUCCAACAAUAACGCACACCUAAGGCAAAGCACCCGUGUACGUGAUGACCUCGUUGUAUCCUCAUGAUCACCCCACGAGCUGGUAUUUCCCCCAUUUCAAAGAAGAAGAAACUGAGGAUAAAAAGAUUAAAUGAAGGUGGAGCCCAUGGAUUUUUAGAACAGUGAAGCUAUUCUGCAUGAUACUGUGAUGGUGGACACGUGUCAUCAUACCUUCAUCAGAACCUGCAGAACAGGCACCACCCAGAGAGAACCCGAAGGUGGACUUUGGGUAUAAUGUGUCAGCGUAGGUUCACUGAUGGAACAGAUGUACCAUCUGGUGGGGGAUACUGUGCGUACGGAUGUGAUGGAUGACAGUGCGGCGCCUGUGCACGUGUUGGGGCAGGGUACAGCGGAACUCUGCACUUCUUGCUCAAUUUUACUGUGAAUCUAAAACUGCU
ensembl:lncRNA